UGGGGAAUUUUGGACAAUGGGCGCAAGCCUGAUCCAGCCAUGCCGCGUGAGUGAAGAAGGCCUUCGGGUUGUAAAGCUCUUUCGGCCGGGAAGAAAUCGUGUUCUCUAACAUAGGACAUGGAUGACGGUACCGGACUAAGAAGCACCGGCUAACUACGUGCCAGCAGCCGCGGUAAUACGUAGGGUGCGAGCGUUAAUCGGAAUUACUGGGCGUAAAGCGUGCGCAGGCGGUUUGCUAAGACAGGUGUGAAAUCCCCGGGCUUAACCUGGGAACUGCGCUUGUGACUGGCAGGCUAGAGUACGGCAGAGGGGGGUGGAAUUCCUGGUGUAGCAGUGAAAUGCGUAGAGAUCAGGAGGAACACCGAUGGCGAAGGCAGCCCCCUGGGCCUGUACUGACGCUCAUGCACGAAAGCGUGGGGAGCAAACAGG
rnacentral:rRNA from 1 species